AUUGAACGCUGGCGGCAGGCCUAACACAUGCAAGUCGAACGAGAGGCGGACGGGUGAGUAAUGUCUGGGGAACUGCGUGAUAGGGAGGGCUAACUACUGGAAAAGGUGGCUAAUACCGCGCACGCUCAGAUGUGCCCCGAUGGGAUUAGCGAGUGGGUGGGGUAACGGCUCACCUAGGCGACGAUCCCUAGCUGGUCUGAGAGGAGGACCAGCCACACUGGAACUGAGACACGGUCCAGACUCCUACGGGAGGCAGCAGUGGGGAAUAUUGCACAAUGGGCGCAAGCCUGAUGCAGCCAUGCCGCGUGUGUGAAGAAGGCCUUCGGGUUGUAAAGCACUUUCAGCGGGGAGGCGUUACCCGCAGAAGAAGCACCGGCUAACUCCGUGCCAGCCGCCGCGGUAAUAC
rnacentral:rRNA from 1 species